UUGAACGCUGGCGGCAGGCCUAACACAUGCAAGUCGAACGGUAACAGGAAGCAGCUUGCUGCUUUGCUGACGAGUGGCGGACGGGUGAGUAAUGUCUGGGAAACUGCCUGAUGGAGGGGGAUAACUACUGGAAACGGUAGCUAAUACCGCAUAACGUCGCAAGACCAAAGAGGGGGACCUUAGGGCCUCUUGCCAUCGGAUGUGCCCAGAUGGGAUUAGCUAGUAGGUGGGGUAACGGCUCACCUAGGCGACGAUCCCUAGCUGGUCUGAGAGGAUGACCAGCCACACUGGAACUGAGACACGGUCCAGACUCCUACGGGAGGCAGCAGUGGGGAAUAUUGCACAAUGGGCGCAAGCCUGAUGCAGCCAUGCCGCGUGUAUGAAGAAGGCCUUCGGGUUGUAAAGUACUUUCAGCGGGGAGGAAGGGAGUAAAGUUAAUACCUUUGCUCAUUGACGUUACCCGCAGAAGAAGCACCGGCUAACUCCGUGCCAGCAGCCGCGGUAAUACGGAGGGUGCAAGCGUUAAUCGGAAUUACUGGGCGUAAAGCGCACGCAGGCGGUUUGUUAAGUCAGAUGUGAAAUCCCCGGGCUCAACCUGGGAACUGCAUCUGAUACUGGCAAGCUUGAGUCUCGUAGAGGGGGGUAGAAUUCCAGGUGUAGCGGUGAAAUGCGUAGAGAUCUGGAGGAAUACCGGUGGCGAAGGCGGCCCCCUGGACGAAGACUGACGCUCAGGUGCGAAAGCGUGGGGAGCAAACAGGAUUAGAUACCCUGGUAGUCCACGCCGUAAACGAUGUCGACUUGGAGGUUGUGCCCUUGAGGCGUGGCUUCCGGAGCUAACGCGGUAAUUCGACCGCCUGGGUAGUACGGCCGCAAGGUUAAAACUCAAAUGAAUUGACGGGGGCCCGCACAAGCGGUGGAGCAUGUGGUUUAAUUCGAUGCAACGCGAAGAACCUUACCUGGUCUUGACAUCCACGGAAGUUUUCAGAGAUGAGAAUGUGCCUUCGGGAACCGUGAGACAGGUGCUGCAUGGCUGUCGUCAGCUCGUGUUGUGAAAUGUUGGGUUAAGUCCCGCAACGAGCGCAACCCUUAUCCUUUGUUGCCAGCGGUCCGGCCGGGAACUCAAAGGAGACUGCCAGUGAUAAACUGGAGGAAGGUGGGGAUGACGUCAAGUCAUCAUGGCCCUUACGACCAGGGCUACACACGUGCUACAAUGGCGCAUACAAAGAGAAGCGACCUCGCGAGAGCAAGCGGACCUCAUAAAGUGCGUCGUAGUCCGGAUUGGAGUCUGCAACUCGACUCCAUGAAGUCGGAAUCGCUAGUAAUCGUGGAUCAGAAUGCCACGGUGAAUACGUUCCCGGGCCUUGUACACACCGCCCGUCACACCAUGGGAGUGGGUUGCAAAAGAAGUAGGUAGCUUAACCUUCGGGAGGGCGCUUACCACUUUGUGAUUCAUGACUGGGGUG
rnacentral:rRNA from 1 species